rnacentral:rRNA from 1 species
UACGAAGGGGGCUAGCGUUGUUCGGAAUUACUGGGCGUAAAGCGCGCGUAGGCGGAUUGCUAAGUCGGGGGUGAAAUCCUGAGGCUCAACCUCAGAACUGCCUUCGAUACUGGCUGUCUGGAGUCCGGGAGAGGUGAGUGGAAUUCCUAGUGUAGAGGUGAAAUUCGUAGAUAUUAGGAAGAACACCAGUGGCGAAGGCGGCUCACUGGCCCGGUACUGACGCUCAUGUGCGAAAGCGUGGGGAGCAAACAGG